AAGAACGCAGCGAAAUGCGAUAAGUAAUGUGAAUUGCAGAAUUCAGUGAAUCAUCGAAUCUUUGAACGCACAUUGCGCCCGCCAGUAUUCUGGCGGGCAUGCCUGUCUGAGCGUCAUUUCAACCCUCAUGCCCCUAGGGCGUGGUGUUGGGGAUCGGC
rnacentral:rRNA from 1 species